AUACGAAGGGGGCUAGCGUUGUUCGGAAUUACUGGGCGUAAAGCGCGCGUAGGCGGACUGAUCAGUUGGGGGUGAAAUCCCAGGGCUCAACCCUGGAACUGCCUCAUAAACUCCCAGUCUAGAGUUCGAGAGAGGUGAGUGGAAUUCCGAGUGUAGAGGUGAAAUUCGUAGAUAUUCGGAGGAACACCAGUGGCGAAGGCGGCUCACUGGCUCGAUACUGACGCUGAGGUGCGAAAGCGUGGGGAGCAAACAGGAUUAGAAACCCUAGUAGUCC
rnacentral:rRNA from 1 species